AGAGAAAAAUGUGAAGAAGAAGAGGGUCUUCUUCUUGGAUUUUUGUUUUCAUAUCUUUCCUCCCUCCAUCUUGAGUUUUCUGAGAGUGUCUCAGAUCUGAAACUCCUCCUUCUACUUUUCAUCUUUGGAAGAGUCUAAAUCAAGAAGAAGGAGGCACCUGAUCAACCAUCAAAGAAGGAUCAGCGCAGUACUAGCAUACUGUGCUGAUUUCCUGAAGCAGGACUUCUGAUCGAGAUUCGUGGGCUCGUGUGGAUGACUCCUAGAGGCCGGAUGCAUGUGCGGCUUGCAAUAUCAUCCUCAAGCCC
rnacentral:lncRNA from 1 species